AUCAGUAGCUGGUCUGAGAGGAUGAUCAGCCACACUGGGACUGAGACACGGCCCAGACUCCUACGGGAGGCAGCAGUGGGGAAUAUUGGACAAUGGGCGCAAGCCUGAUCCAGCCAUGCCGCGUGAGUGAUGAAGGCCUUAGGGUUGUAAAGCUCUUUUAUCCGGGACGAUAAUGACGGUACCGGAGGAAUAAGCCCCGGCUAACUUCGUGCCAGCAGCCGCGGUAAUACGAAGGGGGCUAGCGUUGCUCGGAAUCACUGGGCGUAAAGGGCGCGUAGGCGGCGUUUUAAGUUGGGGGUGAAAGCCUGUGGCUCAACCACAGAAUUGCCUUCGAUACUGGGACGCUUGAGUGUGGUAGAGGUUGGUGGAACUGCGAGUGUAGAGGUGAAAUUCGUAGAUAUUCGCAAGAACACCGGUGGCGAAGGCGGCCAACUGGACCAUCACUGACGCUGAGGCGCGAAAGCGUGGGGAGCAAA
rnacentral:rRNA from 1 species